CCUGAAAAUGGCACCGGCUUCGAGCAUUCGGUCAGGCUUUUAAGGCAAAUGCCAUAAAACACACAUUUUCGCCUUACAAAUGGCUUCAAUAGUUUUAACAGAAAGAUUUGCAAGAAUUUGAUGAAAGUUCUCCGGUAGUCGUCGUAGGAUCGACUAGUCACGACUAGCUAGCGCGGAUGCGCGAGUACGCGCACCGGGACCACUCUUCUUAAGUAGUACUGGGAAUCCAAUAGCAACGAAAUAGAAGAUAAACAGAAAAAGGUAGACAUCUUGGAAGCGAAAGGAAAACUAAAGCAGAGCCUAACAGCGAAACCAUGUCGCACAGAAUGCUGUGAGAAACCCGAAUGCUUCUUCCAAGAAUUUGAGAAAGAAGGGAAAUGGAAGUGUGUGUGGACGGGGAGACAAAGGAACAACCAAAAGAUGCGGUGCCUUACCAAUAUCCUGGUCAGUUUCCUCUUCUGUGUCUUUGCAAAUGUCUCCUUUUUCGCUGUCAGACAAAUCUAAAACAAAAAAAAAAAAAACAAAUUCUUCAUUAAAUAUCUUUUUUUGCAGAGUUUUGUUUGCAAUGAAAUUUUUUUAUGACAUUAAAGCAACGUUGUUGAUGGGUUUCUAUGGCAACAACUCCUGAGAGAGAUUUAACAACCACUUGAGUUGUGAAAUCACACAUCUGCCUCUUUAAGUGAUAGAAGUGUUGUGAUGUUCAUGCUUUUUACUAGUAUUUGUCAUGUGAUUUCUUUGGGUAACUGACCCAGGAGCAUGGAAUCUGUACUGAGUACCACAAAGUUUCAGACAAUAUAGCACCACCACCACCACCACCACCACCACCACCACCACCACUUCCCUUUUCCAUGUCCAGCUGGACAGUCCGACAAGCCACAAUGAAGCCUUACAUAUGCUUUAGCAGAGUUUCUGUGGCUGGAUGCCGUUCCUAAUGCCAACCACUUUACAAAAUGGUCUGGAUGCUUUUGAUGUGGCACCAACAUUAGUGAGGUUACCCUGCAGCUUGCAAGUCUACGAAACCCAAGGAGGGGAAUAGGUUAUGCUAGGAGAUGAGGAGGGAGCAUAAACACUGGCAUAUCAUUUUCUUUUCCAUCGGCAUAAAUACUCUCAUUUUAAGCUAAAGGUAUGU